CGUUGGAUGUUACAGUGCGGCUAUACCGGAUAGCGCGAAGCAUUAUCCGGAAGGCAACGGUAAAGGCAAACCACAAACAAGCAUGAGAAAUUCAAAUGUGGGACUCCAGUGCUCCACCCCAACCCUUGUUCGAUGGCGGCCACAGGAACCCUUCCCCUCCCAUUUUCUCUCUCUAUCUCACGCCCAAAGAGGAGUCGACCCUCAUUCUCACGAACUAGCAGUAGGAGGAAUUAUCAGAGGCCUCUGGUCUUUGCUGUAUCAGAAGAGAAAGCAUCAGAAGAAGGAGGACAGAAGGCUUCUUUUAGGCCGUUUGGUUUCGUCACUGAUAAUCCUUCAAGUAGAAGUGCUAUUCAGUUGCCAGAAGUACCAGCAGAGGACGGAAAUGUUGGCCAAAUGCUAUAUAGGAUAGAGGAUAAGGGGAGAGAAUAUGGGUCUUAUGUCAAAGCUGGCAAAUUUCGAUGGUUUGUGAGAGAAACAGGAUCAUCUAAAACCCAACGUGGAACAAUUAUUUUUGUUCAUGGUGCUCCAACACAAUCUUACAGUUAUCGAGUGGUCAUGGCUCAGAUGGCCGAUCUUGGCUUCCAUUGCUUUGCACCUGACUGGAUUGGAUUUGGUUUUAGUGAUAAACCUCAGCCUGGAUAUGGUUUCUCUUACAUAGAAGAGGAAUUUCAUGAAGCAUUUGACAACUUGCUUGAAGCAUUAUGCAUAUCAUCUCCAGUUAUUUUAGUAAUACAGGGAUUUCUUGUUGGCUCAUAUGGUCUGACUUGGGCUCUGAAAAACCCAAGCAGGGUUUCAAAGAUUACAAUUCUCAAUAGUCCAUUGACCGUUUCAUCUUCCAUUCCAGGGUUAUUUCAGAAGCUAAGAAUUCCUCUUUUCGGUGAAUUCACAUGCCAAAACGCUGUUAUGGCUGAGCGUUUUAUUGAAGCAGGUAGCCCAUAUGUGCUCAAGUUGGAAAAGGCUGACAUCUAUCGGUUACCAUAUUUAUCAAGCAGUGGACCUGGUUUUGCUUUGCUGGAAGCUGCAAGAAAAGCCGACUUCAAUGGUGUAUUGUCCCGAGUAGCAAUGGGAUUUUCGGAGGGACGAUGGGAUAAGCCAAUACUACUUGCAUGGGGAGUUGCAGACAAGUAUUUACCUCUAUCAAUCGCAGAGGAAUUUCAAAAAGGAAACCCAGACAUUAUUUCUAUAAAGGCACUAGAAGGGGCAGGACAUAUGCCACAAGAGGACUGGCCAGAGAAAGUUGUAGAUGCUCUGAGAUAUUUUCUUCUUUAGGCCUAAUACAUGUGAAGGCGUUUGAACACAUCAGAAUGCUUCCGGUAGCAAACUGAGCAAGAAUCAAUGGAAGAGUCAUUCUGACCUGCUAACUGGAGUUAUUGCCGCUUGUCUACACAAUCGUGAGCAGAUUGUGUAUUUUCAUCAAGUAGAUUCUUGUUUGUUUUGUUAGAGUUGAAAGCCUAUUGCUUAGCAUAAUCCUGCUUGUGAUGCAAAACAAAAUUGUUAUGUAAUCUAAAUUUCUUCUCCCUCAACAGGAGUUCAAGGAUGUUGUUAUAUGUUCUCAGAGAACUCAGUAUGAGUAUUAUCCCAGGUCUCAGCAGUUACGAUGGGCCACAUUUCCUUAAAGUUACAUCAUGUGGUGUAAAUGUGACAGAUUCUAGUCUUAUGCUGUUAUCCUAGUGAGUGCAUGGAAGUAUCGAAGAUUAUUGGAUGGAGAUCUUUUUCCUGGGUUUCUGCAGUAGUUGCUAGUUGCGUGAUCAUUACUUUUCCCUGUUAAUAAUGGAAUAAAAAUAAAACUUUUGAGGCUUUGGAGAUUCUCGUUAUUUUCUGAACUGAGUAGUUCUCAAUUAGUGUCAAAUGGGAAGUCCAUAUUUCCUUGCAAUACACUC